UACGUAGGGUGCGAGCGUUAAUCGGAAUUACUGGGCGUAAAGCGUGCGCAGGCGGUUCGUUGUGUCGGCGGUGAAAGCCCCGGGCUCAACCUGGGAAUGGCCGUUGAAACUGGCGAACUGGAGUGUGGCAGAGGGGGGGUGGAAUUCCGGCGUGUAGCAGUGAAAUGCGUAGAGAUGCGGAGGAACACCGAUGGCGAAGGCAGCCCCCCUGGGCUAACACUGACGCUCAGGCACGAAAGCGUGGGGAGCAACCAGG
rnacentral:rRNA from 1 species